rnacentral:rRNA from 1 species
GAGUUUGAUCCUGGCUCAGAUUGAACGCUGGCGGCAUGCCUUACACAUGCAAGUCGAACGGUAACGGGUCCUUCGGAGUGCCGACGAGUGGCGAACGGGUGAGUAAUAUAUCGGAACGUGCCCAGUAGUGGGGAGUAACUGCUCGAAAGAGCAGCUAAUACCGCAUACGACCUGAGGGUGGAAGGGGGGAGGUCGCAAGAACCUCCUUCGCUAUUGGUAGGCGGCCGGACU